CUUAUGCCGGCGACCGGCGGACGGGUGCGUAACGCGUAUGUAACCUACCUUUGACAGGGGGAUAACAUCGAGAAAUUGGUACUAAUACCCCAUAACAUCACCGGAGGCAUCUUCGGUGGUUGAAAACUCAGGUGGUCAGAGAUGGACACGCGUUGUAUUAGCUAGUCGGUGAGGUAACGGCUCACCAAGGCGACGAUACAUAGGGGGACUGAGAGGUCAACCCCCCACAUUGGUACUGAGACACGGACCAAACUCCUACGGAAGGCAGCAG
rnacentral:rRNA from 1 species